rnacentral:lncRNA from 1 species
UCUCCAGCCAAGCACUUGUGCUUUGCCGUUCAAUUUUCACAUUUGGCCAGGACCCACUCAAGGGUUUAGUGUUUAUUCACUGUGACCAAUAAAUACAGAACAUUUCAAUACAACUUUGCCUGCCAGGUUAUGUUCAGUGACUGCAAUGCCAUCACCAUCGACAACAGGAGGAACCAGCAUCUCAUUCCGCUGACGCGGCAAGAUCGCGCAGGUGUUUACCGCACAGCUGAGUACUCCUUCCCCAUAAACUAUGCAGAUAUUUUCUUCCCACAUCUAUCUGGAGACUGUAAUUUCUACAAAGCGACAAGGCAGAAAGCAUGGCCAUGGCAGGGCUGCGUGUGGAGAGGCCUCAUCCCCAACGAGCGUGUCACUAGGAACUGAACGGCAAUGGGAGCCACUCAGGAAGGGUUCGUUCUGGAGAUUUAGUGGCUCAUCCUGAUGUUGUUCUUGUGGAGUAUAAUCGGAAGUUAAAGCCUGGCCCUAAAUACACCCACCUCCUUGCUUCCCAUGAGCCCUCCUUCAACAUACGCGUGCCCCCAUCUGGUGCUCUGGGAACAGAAGAUUUAGAAUCUUGCAUUACCUUUGGUGCUACCCUACCCAUGGUCUCGUUUACACCCACCAAUGCAAUUCUGAGCAUGGAGGUUCUUGGUUUUAAAGUCAUUUCUAAGCUUAUUUUCUUGUUUCUUGUGCUUUUAGUUUGGGAGAAAUAGAAGCGAAAAAUAUCAUCCAACUAAAAACAUAUAGAAAACACUGAUCUCUUUAAGGAAAGAAGCUGAAUAUAUGUUCUCAGCCGGUGGAGGUGGGAGGUUUAUUUCUCCCGCAUGAGACUGCAAGGGAUUGGAUCUAAGAACGGGUUAUUCUACUGGUGCAAAGCUCUUGCUGAAACAAUGUUUGAGUCCUACUUUGGACAUUCUGCUGAUAGUUUCAUUUCUAAUUUAUGAAACAUUUCAUUAAUCCUCAAUCUGUCAGCUCUUCCUUGACAACAAUAGAGGCUGACAGACAAAAGAUUAAAAUUUAUUAAAUACCUUACCCUUUGGACGUGUUUGAAAUGCUCUGUCCAUUUUUGUCCCCAUUUCACCUAAUUUUAAACAAACUGCACUCUUCCCAAUUUUCUCAGAAAGCAAGUAGGCACCAUAGCAAAACAAUGUGUAAAUACCACAAUAAACCACACCAAAUCGAAACACACAGAAAAAAGAUCAAAAUACAGCAAUUCUUGAGCAGAAUUGCUGGCAUUCACAUUAAAAGCAUCUCCUAUCCCACGUAUCUCAAGCAUAUUAUUUUUUGUAUGCUCUUCAUCCUCAUCCUCUCAGUCCUUCGCCCCCCCUUCCAAUCUCAUAAAUAAUUCAUGAACUGAUAAAUAUGCAAUUUCAAAAAGUGCAGACAAGGCAGCACUGCAUUAAAAAAAAAAAAAAAAAAAAA